rnacentral:rRNA from 1 species
AUUGAACGCUGGCGGCAGGCCUAACACAUGCAAGUCGAGCGAGCGGCGGACGGGUGAGUAAUGUAUGGGGAUCUGCCCGAUAGAGGGGGAUAACUACUGGAAACGGUGGCUAAUACCGCAUACCUUUAGAGCGGCCCGCGUCUGAUUAGCUAGUUGGUGAGGUAACGGCUCACCAAGGCGACGAUCAGUAGCUGGUCUGAGAGGAUGACCAGCCACACUGGGACUGAGACACGGCCCAGACUCCUACGGGAGGCAGCAGUGGGGAAUAUUGCACAAUGGGCGCAAGCCUGAUGCAGCCAUGCCGCGUGUGUGAAGAAGGCCUUCGGGUUGUAAAGCACUUUCAGCGAGGAGGCGUUACUCGCAGAAGAAGCACCGGCUAACUCCGUGCCAGCAGCCGCGGUAAUAC